GCCUGGCUGGCUUAGUCAGCGGAGCAUGUGACUCUUCAUCUCAGAGUUAUGAGUUCAAGUCCCAUGUUGGGCA
rnacentral:tRNA from 1 species